rnacentral:rRNA from 1 species
AUCAAUAAGCGGAGGAAAAGAAAAUAACAAUGAUUCCCCUAGUAACGGCGAGUGAAGAGGGAAAAGCUCAAGUUUGGAAGCUUCGUGGCAUAGCUACGACGCGUUGUAAACUGAAGUUUUUUGGGUGAUUGGGCGACCGGAUAAAUAAGUCCUUUGGAAAGGGGCAACAUAGAGGGUGACAUUCCCGUCUUUGGUCCGAGUCAGUGCAGUCGCUGCCCAGGAAACGACGAGUCAGGUUGUUUGGGAAUGCAGCCUAAAAUGGGAGGUAAAUCUCUCCUAAAGCUAAAUACUGGCGUAAGACCGAUAGCGAACAAGUACCGUGAGGGAAAGAUGAAAAGGACUUUGAAAAGAGGGUCAAAUAGUACGUGAAAUUGUUGAAAGGGAACCGUAUGAAAGUAGACUGGCUUGGUGAUGAUCAAUGUGUGUUUCGGCACGCAUGCACUCAUUGCCUUUGCCAGCCAGCGGCAGUUUUUGCUAAAGGAAGAAAAUCAGGGGAAUGUGGCUUCGAUUUCGGUCGAAGUGUUAUAGCUCCUGGUAAAAUACUUUGGCAGAGACUGAGGCUAGCAGCGGAUCUUUGGGAACUUUGCGCGCUUGUCGUCCAAUGGCUAAGUUUUCUUCGGAUGCUUGGUCAUUGGGUGGCAACUCGUGUGAUGCUUCACCCUUCCGCUUAGGUCGCUGGCGUAAUGCUUUAUAUGAC